rnacentral:rRNA from 1 species
GAUGAACGCUGGCGGCGUGCCUAAUACAUGCAAGUCGAGCGAACAGACGAGGAGCUUGCUCCUCUGACGUUAGCGGCGGACGGGUGAGUAACACGUGGAUAACCUACCUAUAAGACUGGGAUAACUUCGGGAAACCGGAGCUAAUACCGGAUAAUAUAUUGAACCGCAUGGUUCAAUAGUGAAAGACGGUUUUGGUGUCACUUAUAGAUGGAUCCGCGCCGUAUUAGCUAGUUGGUAAGGUAACGGCUUACCAAGGCAACGAUGCGUAGCCGACCUGAGAGGGGGAUCGGCCACACUAGAACUGAGACACCGUCCAGACUCCUACGGGAGGCAGCAGUAGGGAAUCUUCCGCAAUGGGCGAAAGCCUGGCGGAGCAACGCCGCGUGAGUGAUGAAGGUCUUCGGAUCGUAAAACUCUGUUAUUAGGGAAGAACAAAUGUGUAAGUAACUAUGCACGUCUUGACGGUACCUAAUCAGAAAGCCACGGCUAACUACGUG